rnacentral:rRNA from 1 species
AACGAACGCUGGCGGCAGGCCUAACACAUGCAAGUCGAGCGCGCCUUCGGGUGAGCGGCGGACGGGUGAGUAACACGUGGGAAUACGCCUUUCGGUGCGGAAUAGUCUUGGGAAACUGAGGGUAAUACCGCAUACGCCCCUUGGGGGAAAGAUUUAUCGCCGAAAGAUUAGCCCGCGUUGGAUCAGGUAGUUGGUGGGGUAAUGGCCUACCAAGCCGACGAUCCAUAGCUGGUUUGAGAGGAUGAUCAGCCACACUGGGACUGAGACACGGCCCAGACUCCUACGGGAGGCAGCAGUGGGGAAUCUUAGACAAUGGGGGCAACCCUGAUCUAGCCAUGCCGCGUGAGUGAUGAAGGCCUUAGGGUCGUAAAGCUCUUUCAGCUGGGAAGAUAAUGACGGUACCAGCAGAAGAG